rnacentral:rRNA from 1 species
GAUGAACGCUGGCGGCGUGCCUAAUACAUGCAAGUCGAGCGAACAGACGAGGAGCUUGCUCCUUUGACGUUAGCGGCGGACGGGUGAGUAACACGUGGAUCACCUACUUAUAAGACUGGGAUAAUUUCGGGACACCGGAGCUAAUACGGGAUAAUAUAUUGCACCGCAGGGUUCAAUAGAGAAGUACGGUUUUGCUGUCUCUACUCGAUGGAUCCGCGCCGCAUUAGCUAGUUGGUACGGUAACGGCUUACCAAGGCGACGAUGCGUAGCCGACCUGAGAGGGUGAUCGGCCACACUGGAACUGAGACACGGUCCAGACUCCUACGGGAGGCAGCAGUAGGGAAUCUGCCGCAAUGGGCGAAAGCCUGACGGAGCAACGUCGCGUGAGUGAUGAAGGUCUUCGGAUCGUAAAACUCUGUUAUUAGGGAAGAACAAAUGUGUAAGUAACUAUGCACGUCGUGACGGUACCUAAUCAGAAAGCCCCGGCUAACUACGUG